rnacentral:rRNA from 3 species
AACGACUCUCGACAACGGAUAUCUCGGCUCUCGCAUCGAUGAAGAACGUAGCGAAAUGCGAUACUUGGUGUGAAUUGCAGAAUCCCGUGAACCAUCGAGUCUUUGAACGCAAGUUGCGCCCGAAGCCAAUAGGCCGAGGGCACGUCUGCCUGGGUGUCACGCA